rnacentral:rRNA from 1 species
AAGAAAGUAAGAAAGGGCGUAUGGCGGAUGCCUAGGCUCACGGAGGCGAUGAAGGACGUGAUAAGCUGCGAUAAGCUUCGGGUAGGUGCAAAUAACCUUUGAUCCGAAG